UACGAGAGGCCCAAACGUUAUUCGGAUUUACUGGGCUUAAAGAGUUCGUAGGCGGCGCAGAAAGUAGGGUGUGAAAGCCCUCGGCUCAACCGAGGAAUUGCGCCCUAAACUACUGUGCUUGAGGGACCUAGAGGUGAGCAGAACAGAUGGUGGAGCGGUGAAAUGCGUUGAUAUCAUCUGGAAUACCGGGAGGCGAAGGCGGCUCACUGGGGGUG
rnacentral:rRNA from 1 species